GCCGGGUGCAGUGGUGCAUGCCUGUAAUCCCAGUGGCUUGGGAGGCUGAAGCAGGAAGAUUGCAAGUUCAAGGUUAGCCUCAGUAAUUUAGUGAGGCCCUGAGCAACUCAGCAAGAUCCUGUAUCUA
rnacentral:sRNA from 1 species